UACGUAGGGUGCAAGCGUUGUCCGGAAUUAUUGGGCGUAAAGAGCUCGUAGGCGGUUUGUCGCGUCUGCUGUGAAAACCCGAGGCUCAACCUCGGCCUGCAGUCGAUACGGGCAGACUUGAGUUCGGUAGGGGAGACUGGAAUUCCUGGUGUAGCGGUGAAAUGCGCAGAUAUCAGGAGGAACACCGGUGGCGAAGGCGGGUCUCUGGGCCGAUACUGACGCUGAGGAGCGAAAGCGUGGGGAGCGAACAGG
rnacentral:rRNA from 1 species